CGUACACUCCUGCGGGAGGCAGCAGUGGGGAAUUUUGGACAAUGGGCGAAAGCCUGAUCCAGCCAUGCCGCGUGCAGGAUGAAGGCCUUCGGGUUGUAAACUGCUUUUGUACGGAACGAAACGGCCUUUUCUAAUAAAGAGGGCUAAUGACGGUACCGUAAGAAUAAGCACCGGCUAACUACGUGCCAGCAGCCGCGGUAAUACGUAGGGUGCAAGCGUUAAUCGGAAUUACUGGGCGUAAAGCGUGCGCAGGCGGUUAUGUAAGACAGUUGUGAAAUCCCCGGGCUCAACCUGGGAACUGCAUCUGUGACUGCAUAGCUAGAGUACGGUAGAGGGGGAUGGAAUUCCGCGUGUAGCAGUGAAAUGCGUAGAUAUGCGGAGGAACACCGAUGGCGAAGGCAAUCCCCUGGACCUGUACUGACGCUCAUGCACGAAAGCGUGGGGAGCAAACAGGAUUAGAUACCCUUGUAGUCCCA
rnacentral:rRNA from 1 species